UUCCGGCGGGCGGGACGCGGAAGUGGUGGCCUGUGGCCUGAGGGGUGUUGAGUGGCCGCUCGGCCGGAGCGCGCUGGGCCUAGGGCCCGGGAACUGAGAUGCGGGGAGCGACGCACGCGGGCUCCUGGCCCCUGAGCCACGCCGAGGAGUCGUCAGGAGCAUCUCGGGACGAGGAAGCCUCCAGCCCAGCAUCGGGUGCAAGGACAACAGCCUUACAGAUUCUGCUUAAGCUGCUCCUGCGAUAGCCUAAGGUCCAGACUCUGUAGGGAUUCUGCUUCUCUGAUGGAACCUUAGCUGAUACGCAGAAGUGGACAGCCCAGUGUUGGAAUGGAGGACGCACCUUGUCUUUCAGUUCAGCCAUCCUUACCACAAGUGCUUCCAUCCUCAGGAUCACAAGUGCAAGUAUAAUAUCAAGAUGAUUUGACUGUAAGCAACAAAGAAUCAAACAAAAAUGGCCUGAACAAAAAAGACAAUUUGUUACCCCAUAUUACAAGAAAUUUGGGGGUUGAGUGGUUGAAAGGCUGAUUGAUUUAGAAACUUGACAAUAGUUCCCACUUUCCCUAUGGUGGCUACAGCCCCUCAUCCUUCAGACUUGCUAGAUGGCUGCGGCAUUGCCACAAAGAUGCCCCCACACAGCAGUGCUUCAAGACUGCAGAGAGGGCCUCCUUCCUCUGUCCCUUUCCCAAGGCUCCGCAGAAGACUCACCUUCAUGUCACAUUCCACUCCUGGACUGGUCACUUGGCAGGGGGAACGGAUUUACCAUGGUGGCCAAAAGCCAAUUAAGAGUCACCCCUAGACCAUAAAGAGGCCCAAUCUCUGGAGAGCAUUUGGCUGCUCACUACCAAGCAAAUCUGGUACCCCUGAAAAGAAAGAGCUGCCAUGUCGUCACCUUGAGUGGAAGCACUGCUGACACACAGGAUGACAGAGCAGAGAGGCAGAGAGGGCCCAGGUCUUGUGGAUAAUGGGGAGCAGCUGAAUCCACACAGGACGGCUCACCUUCCGGCUUCUCAGAUGGACACUUGGGCUUCUACCACCUUUUUGUUAUUGUGAAUAAUACUGCUACGAACAUGGGUGUACAAACAUCUCUCCAAGUCCCUGUUUUCAAUUCUUCUGGGCACAGAUAUAUACCUAAAAGUGGAGUUCCUGGAUCAUAUGCUUCAAGGGGCAGAAGACAUGGCUUAGGAGCUGCCCAAGGUGCAGUGUUUAACAGGAGACCCCGUCAUUAAAGCUGGGACUACCCCUUCCCCCAAAGGCUACCCAUGUAAAAUUUAGUUAGAAGUUAUCUUGACACCCAGUGGACACCAAAGAAAAUUACCUGAUUGAAACUGAAUGCUGAGUAAAGGAAAGAAAGUGUCCCCUUUGAAACCAUGUCUAUACCCAUCUCUUCCUCACACUGUUUUGCAGGCAAAAUUUAGACUAACUGAAAUCUUUGAAAAAUUCUCAAGCCUAUAAUUUGAUUUAAAGUGAUCCUGGGUUGGUCGUACCUGCUGGCAUCUGGCAAACAGAAACCCAAACCCUUUUUGGAGGAUUUCUCUGAAGGAACCCACCUUCAAACUAAACCUCAAAAAAUUCCUUCGGAAAAACUUCCAGAAGAUACUAAUUUAUAUAAGAAAUACCAAAAUAAUAAUGAAGCAAGUGACCAUGACUGAGAGGCAGCAGAAACUAAGGACCUCAGUAAACAUGAAAAGAUUUCAGAUACUGGAAUUGUCAAAGACAGACUGUAAAAGAGUCAUAUCUAAAGAAAUAAAUAAGAGAUUAAACUUAUGAGCAAGGGAAAAGAAACUGAAAAUGAUCAAGCACAUUUGAAAAAGUCAAAUAAAACUUCCUCUAGAAAUAAAAAAUAUCAUAAAUGAAAUUUAAAAACUCACUGUCUGAAUUUAACAGCAAAUAAGACCCAGCAGAAGAGAGAAUUAGUGAGCUAGAAAAUAGAUAUAAAUAAAUGCUGGACUACAUGACGGAGGCUUAAAAGAGAUGGACAAUCUUUAAUCAGAGACCCAGAAGAAGAGAGAAUGAAGAGGGAGACGGGAGAGUCAAUGUUUGAAGGGAUGGAUGGUGGAUAAGAAAAUGACCAGAAUUGAUGAAAGAUACCAGUGCUGAGAUUCAGGAAGUCUGAGUUCCUAAAAGGAUGUGGAAGAAGGAAUACCUACCAGGACUCAUCAUGAAAAUGUAGAACACUUAAAGUCAAGAUCUUAAAUGGAGCUGUAGAGAAAAGACAGAUCACCUAGAAAGAAGCUGCUGUUCAGACGGAUGCCUAACUUCUCACCAGCAGCAGUAGAAGCCAGAAGUCAGUGAAAUCAUAUCUUCGAUAUGUUAAGGAAAAAUAUUAGUUAAUUUAGAUGAUGAACUGGGUCUUGAAGGAGGAAUGGGUAGCUUAGGUCUCAUGUUUUCUCAGGGGCUCAGUCUCCCCUGGGCUGCUGCUCCUUCAAAGCAAUCAUAUUUCAGUGAGUGCCCCCGGCCCAGACGGUUCUUAUCAAAGGUUCGAUGAGGGGUGUGCCCCUCUGCUGGUUUCCCUGGUAACCGAUGAGCCAACCCCUGUAACUGGUAACCUCCUGCUCCCCCAGGAACAAAGACUGCUGCCACGUCCUGCCCACAGUCCGCUACACACAGUGGGGUGUACUUCCAGGACCUUGCUUCGGGCAUGUAACCUCCUCCAUCCAUUAAACCAUCAAUGUCUCUGUCGCUGACUCCGGGCUCUUCCUUCCGUCUUGAGGCUGGGCAGGCCUGCGGGGUGCAGCCCAACAUGAGGGAAAAGCCUUAUUGAUCCUGGUCUGAUUCAUUAGGAGCCAUUUGGGUCCACAAGGGUGGGGAAGCACUUGCUUCUUACUGCAUUUUUAUCUUUGUAAACAUAGCCAUAGAACACCAGUUCACACACUGAUAGGUAAAUGCUGUGGACUGAAUGUUUUGUGUGUCCCCUCCCCAAAUUCAUGUGUUGAAUUCCCAGUGCCCAAUGUGAUGGCAUUAGUAUGUGGGGCCUUUGGGAGAUGCUUAGGUCAUGAGGGUGGAGCCCUCAUGAGAGGAAUUACUGCCCUUAUAAGGAGACCCCAUAGAGUACCCUUGCCCAUUCCACCAUGUGAAGACACAGGGAGCAGAUGUGGGCUGUGAACCAGCAUGAAGGCCGUCACCAGCAUGAGACCA